CUGGUACUAACAGCUGUUUUGCGAAAUUGAGAGCAAUUUCAAAUCUGUUCGGUUUUUUUUACACACCUAUAGCUGUAUAAACAGAAUUUAGAAUGGCAAUAAAUGAGAUCAAAAUGUUAUGCUCUAUGAAACCGCGUAUGCUUCCUUUCGCCCGAAGAAUUGUGUCUUGUUUUUUUGUUUUUGUCAAAACAUUACUGCUGAAAGCUAAUAUCAGAACAAAUUCCAGCACUCCGCAGACCAAUCAGAUGUCGCCAUUUCCAAAUUGUCGAUUUCACGAUGUUUGGAAUGCAUAUAGUCGCAUUCCCGAAUGUUUUGACCAUUCUGUGGCUUUGACACGAAAAUAUGGGCGUCCGAAGCGGGCAAAAUUAUGAACGCAUAAACAAUAAACCAAUACACGCACUAAACAUUUGAACACUCGCACUAAACAUUUGAACACUCACACUAAACAUUUGAACACUCACACUAAACAUUCGAACACUCACAAUAGAAAUUCGAACACUAACAAUAAAAAUUCGAACACUCGUAUGAAUUUCGAAUUGGCAUUCCACAAAUUCCACAAUGCACACACAAUAUUCGAAGUGUCGCACACAGAACAUUCGAAAAAAUCUCGUUAAUUUAUGCAGCUGUUUACUUCUAAUUUACGCGACGGUUAAUUUAUAUAUACGGGGGGAGGGAAACUCUGUUUGUUCACGCGGGAAAGCUGGGAAAUACACACUAGAAAUAUACAACCAAGAUGGCGGUUCGCUGGUUGCAAAUCGGCUUCUAUAUUCUGUCUUUCUCACACAAUUGCCAACCCCAAUCCCUGCCGACGAGUCCAUGAAGGACGAAACGCCGCGUACAGGGAUACUGAAAUUUACACAGAUGACUUUCUCAUAUAUCUCGCUUUAUAUAUUUUUAAAUACAUGCCUCCAUACAAGCUUUUUAGUACAGCGCGAUCAUACUCUUUGGGUCUGAUCAUUUACACAACAGGAUAUAUUUUACUCUUACAAUUUCACACAUACAUCUCCAAUUUUAUGUUCCACAAGUCUAUAACCUACACUUAUAUUUCUUAGGUUCACAUUUAUACAAAUACAAGUGGUUUUUUAUCUUUUAUCCUCAGGUUUUUCAAAUCACAUUUUUUCACAGGCGUACAUUGUGCCAACAACACGAGGCCAUUACCCUAUCAUAUUUCACACUACAAUUUUCCAUCUAACAUUUAGGGACUAUUGUGGCAUAAAAUUAUUACUAGGACACCAAUAGGGUUCUCAUUACCUACAUCUAAACCUAAAAAAAACCCAGUUAAAACGUUUUGCGGCUGUGGUGCAGCAUUUCUUGGCAAACGAAAUCUUUCAUUUAUCUCGCUAUUCACAGAGGAAUGCUGCCUGGAAUUGGAGCCACUUUGCUCUGCUACGAAAAGCUCUCCCAAAAAUACUUCGUACUACAGAUUGUAUUUGCGUUUCGGAGCAAGCACCUGUUGGUUGCUCCGCCAUGCUUGAUCAAUUGAGCGAAAUUUCCCAGCUUUCCCGCGUAAACAAACAGAGUUUCCCUCCCCCC